rnacentral:piRNA from 1 species
UGACAAUGUGUGUAUAACCCAUCCCCAUC